rnacentral:tRNA from 1 species
GGGCAGUGGUGGCCGAACGGUUAAGGCUCUGGGUUACUGCCCAGGAGGUUGGGGGUUCAAGCCCCAGGACUGUCCA